rnacentral:rRNA from 1 species
AUUGAACGCUGGCGGCAGGCCUAACACAUGCAAGUCGAGCGAGCGGCGGACGGGGGAGUAAUGUAUGGGGACUGCCCGAUAGAGGGGGAGAACUACUGGAAACGGUAGCUAAUACCGCAUACUAUCCGAUAACCCAUAUGGGAGUAGCUAGUGGGUGGGGUAAUGGCUCACCUAGGCGACGAUCCCUAGCUGGACUGAGAGGAUGAUCAGCCACACUGGGACUGAGACACGGCCCAGACUCCUACGGAGGCAGCAGUGGGGAAUAUUGCACAAUGGGCGCAAGCCUGAUGCAGCCAUGCCGCGUGUAUGAAGAAGGCCCUAGGGUUGUAAAGUACUUUCAGUAGGGAGGCGUUACCGACAGAAGAAGCACAGGCUAACGCCGUGCCAGCAGCCGCGGUAAUUC